rnacentral:rRNA from 1 species
GAUGAACGCUGGCGGCGUGCCUAAUACAUGCAAGUCGAGCGAACAGACGAGGAGCUUGCUCCUCUGACGUUAGCGGCGGACGGGUGAGUAACACGUGGAUAACCUACCUAUAAGACUGGGAUAACUUCGGGAAACCGGAGCUAAUACCGGAUAAUAUUUUGAACCGCAUGGUUCAAUAGUGAAAGACGGUUUUGCUGUCACUUAUAGAUGGAUCCGCGCCGCAUUAGCUAGUUGGUAAGGUAACGGCUUACCAAGGCAACGAUGCGUAGCCGACCUGAGAGGGUGAUCGGCCACACUGGAACUGAGACACGGUCCAGACUCCUACGGGAGGCAGCAGUAGGGAAUCUUCCGCAAUGGGCGAAAGCCUGACGGGGCAACGCCGCGUGAGUGAUGAAGGUCCUCGGAUCGUAAAACUCUGUUAUUAGGGAAGAACAAAUGUGUAAGUAACUAUGCACGUCUUGACGGUACCUAAUCAGAAAGCCACGGCUAACUACGUG